AAGAAGGAUAGAAAUAGGAUGCGAGUAAACCAGUGGCAGCUUCUUGGACACCGCAAACUACACUUUUGUUACACCGACAGAAAACUUCCUAAAAUAUCUCAGGCAGGUGGUACACUUGCCAGACACCCUCACGAGUGCUCAUACAUGUGAAUCCCACACUGCCGACCCCACACUCUUAGCUAGGCCCAAUCACUUCCCCCCCAGAGUUGGGAAUUGUGCUUGGUCUUCGAUCUUGGGGGCAGACGCACCUCCUGGAGCUGAUCCACGACCACCACCGAACCUUCCACGGCCAGAGUCUCGGUCUCCACGGCCGGCACCUUCGCGGCGGUCACCGCCCUCACGGCGAUCUCCACGGCCACCCCGACCUCCACGGCCACGGUUAGAAGGAUAGUAAGACUUCUCUCCU
rnacentral:lncRNA from 1 species